rnacentral:rRNA from 1 species
GGGGAAUUUUCCGCAAUGGGCGAAAGCCUGACGGAGCAAGACCGCGUGAGGGAGGAAGGCUCUUGGGUUGUAAACCUCUUUUCUCAGGGAAGAAAAAAAUGACGGUACCUGAGGAAUAAGCAUCGGCUAACUCCGUGCCAGCAGCCGCGGUAAUACGGAGGAUGCAAGCGUUAUCCGGAAUUAUUGGGCGUAAAGCGUCCGCAGGUGGCACAUCAAGUCUGCUGUCAAAGACCGGGGCUUAACCCUGGAAAGGCAGUGGAAACUGAAGUGCUAGAGUGCAGGAGGGGUAGAGGGRAUUCCCGGUGUAGCGGUGAAAUGCGUAGAUAUCGGGAAGAACAUCGGUGGCGAAGGCGCUCUACUGGACUGCAACUGACACUCACAGGACGAAAGCUAGGGGAGCGAAUGGGAUUAGAUACCCCAGUAGUCCUAGCUGUAAACGAUGGAUACUAGGUGUGGCUUGUAUCGACCCGAGCCGUGCCGUAGCUAACGCGUUAAGUAUCCCGCCUGGGGAGUACGCGCGCAAGCGUGAAACUCAAAGGAAUUGACGGGGGCCCGCACAAGCGGUGGAGUAUGUGGUUUAAUUCGAUGCAACGCGAAGAACCUUACCAGGGCUUGACAUGUCCGGAAUCCCAGGGAAACUUGGGAGUGCCUUCGGGAACCGGAACACRGGUGGUGCAUGGCUGUCGUCAGCUCGUGUCGUGAGAUGUUGGGUUAAGUCCCGCAACGAGCGCAACCCUCGUCUUUAGUUGCCAGCAUUAAGUUGGGCACUCUAGAGAGACUGCCGGUGACAAACCGGAGGAAGGUGGGGAUGACGUCAAGUCAGCAUGCCCCUUACGCCCUGGGCAACACACGUACUACAAUGCUUCGGACAGAGGGCAGCAAGCCAGCGAUGGCAAGCCAAUCCCAUAAACCGAGGCUCAGUUCAGAUUGCAGGCUGCAACUCGCCUGCAUGAAGGCGGAAUCGCUAGUAAUCGCCGGUCAGCAUACGGCGGUGAAUCCGUUCCCGGGCCUUGUACACACCGCCCGUCACACCAUGGAAGUUGGCCACGCCCGAAGUCGUUACUCCAACCCCUCGGGGAGGAGGACGCCGAAGGCAGGGCUGAUGACUGGGGUGAAGUCGUAACAAGGUAGCCGUACCGGAAGGUGUGGCUGGAUCACCUCCU